rnacentral:misc_RNA from 1 species
AUUUAGACCUCAGAUAAGAUGUCACAGAGAUUAUCGCUAAUCUUCAACUUUCAGUAAUGGAGUAUUCGAGGUUCUUCAUGGAAAUGGGAUAUAUGAUGAUGGGAUAGACAAGGGACAAACAUGUUGAUGUUUUGCCUUGUUAGAUCUGUUGUUUAGACUCCUUAAUCUAGUAAUUGAGAAGAUGUGCCCCACACACAGGGUUGUCUCCUAUACUUGGAACCAUUCUUGACCUAUUGACGCUGUAUGAUAUAAUAUUAAUCUUAUAAAUCAAGCGAUUCUGCUUAUGGCUCAUUC